rnacentral:rRNA from 1 species
UUUUAGAUUAGUAUUAAAUAUAUUUAUGAAAUUAAAAUAAUUUGGCGGUAUUUUAGUCUAUUCAGAGGAACUUGUUUUAUAAUCGAUAUUCCUCGUUAUAUCUUACUUAUUUUAUUUAAUUUGUAUAUCGUUGUCAUUAGAAUAUUUUAUAAGAAAAAUAAUUUUUCUAUAAUUAUAUAAAAUUUUAUGUCAAAUCAAGGUGCAGUUUAUAUUUAAGUAAAAAUGAGUUACAUUAAUAUUUAUUUAUAUGAAUUAUAGAUUGAAAUAUCUUUAUAAAGGUGGAUUUGAUAGUAAAUUUUAAAAGAGUAUAAAGUUGAUUAUAGCUCUAAAAUAUGUAC